AAAGCUGGCUAAAGUGAUCCGGUGGUUCUGUAUGGAAGGGCCAUCGCUCAAAGGAUAAAGGUACGCCGGGGAUAACAGGCUGAUCUCCCCCAAGAGCUCAUAUCGACGGGGAGGUUUGGCACCUCGAUGUCGGUUCGUCACAUCCUGGGGCUGGAGAAGGUCCCAAGGGUUCGGCUGUUCGCCGAUUAAAGUGGCACGUGAACUGGGUUCAGAACGUCGCAAGACAGUUCGGUCCCUAUCUGUUGUGAUCGUUAGUAAAUUGCGGGGACAUGACCUUAGUACGAGAGGACCGGGUCGUACGUACCGCUGGUGUAUCAGUUGUGCCGCCAGGUGCAGUGCUGAGUAGCUAUGUACGGAAAGGAUAAACGCUGAAAGCAUCUAAGCGUGAAACCUACCUCAAGAUGAGUUUACUUUUAAGGGCCGUCGGAGACUACGACGUUGAUAGGCUACAGUGUAAGGGUGGUAACAUCGAAGCCGAGUAGUACUAAUUGCCCGUAAGCUUUAAUUUAU
rnacentral:rRNA from 1 species